CAAAUCUUAGCGGUGGAUCACUCGGUUCGUGGAUCGA
rnacentral:rRNA from 2 species